rnacentral:lncRNA from 1 species
UGAUUCCACCACCUGGCCAGCUGGACCACACAGGAGUAGGAAAGAGGACACGGAGGCUCCAGUAAAGCUGAUGAAUUGCCUAAGGUCCCAGUGAAAACAGGAGGAGGCAGUACUGCUAACCUAUCCACCAGCUUGUUCUAUCGCAGAGCUGCCCUUGGAGCCACAAGGGAAGAAACAGAGAGAAAGGGCUGAAGGAAGACUUUCUGGAAGAAGCAAGGCCUUGAGAACCAUGUGAUGGAUGACAGGGAAGGAAAUGAAGAUCUAGUUUUAAGUGCUGCUUUCACACCGAACAGGAGCAGAAUGAAAUGGGG